rnacentral:misc_RNA from 1 species
CAAAUCCACGUCUCUUUACCGAGACUCGUUGAAAUGUUGGGGUGGUGGUCAUGCGCAUCAUGUAGAGCAGCUCCUUCGGGACUCUCUGGUGUUGUCGUGUGACCCCCUCUAAAAAAACCUGUGAUUUGUUGAACUGUUGUAUUAAUUAAACUUAAA